rnacentral:rRNA from 1 species
AUGGGCGGGGAUGCGAGAAGCAUGGACGCGGUUGCGCGGCCCCCGGAUCCGGUGAAGGGCGUGCGCGAGAGGCGGCCAACGGGGCGUGAGGCACAGCUCCAGAUCCGGGUGGCCAGAGCAGAGCGUGAAGCCAGGAAGCAGGGGCGAGGGUUUGGAUGUGUUUGGAUGCUUUGGGUGGCCGCCUUCACCGCGGCCAGUGCAGCGGCGUGGUUGUGGUUUGGCGGCCAGGUUUGGACGCCCCGGUGUCAUCUGCGAGCGACAUGGGAGGGAGCGACCAGGAACCAAAAGAUGCCGACAGUCUUGAGUACUCAGAUCAGCAAACCCGUCUUUGUAUUCCCAUCAUUGAAACGAGGAGGGUAUUCCCAUUUUUGA